rnacentral:rRNA from 1 species
GAUGAACGCUGGCGGCGUGCUUAACACAUGCAAGUCGAACGGAAAGGCUCCUGCUUGCAGGGGUACUCGAGUGGCGAACGGGUGAGUAACACGUGGGUGAUCUGCCCAGCACUUCGGGAUAAGCCUGGGAAACUGGGUCUAAUACCGGAUAGGACGAUGGUUUGGAUGCCAUUGUGGAAAGUUUUUUCGGUGUGGGAUGAGCUCGCGGCCUAUCAGCUUGUUGGUGGGGUAAUGGCCUACCAAGGCGUCGACGGGUAGCCGGCCUGGGAGGGUGUACGGCCACAUUGGGACUGAGGUACGGCGCAGACUCCUACGGGAGGCAGCGGUGGGGAAUAUUGCACAGUGGGCGCAAGCCUGAUGCGGCGACGCCGGGUGGGGGAUGACGGCCUUCGGGUUAUAAACUCCUUUCGCUAGGGACGAAGCGCAAGUGACGGUACCUGGAGAAGAAGCACCGGCUAACUACGUG